rnacentral:lncRNA from 1 species
AAAAAAAAUCAAUAAUUUGAUUUGUUGAAAGCAAAAAAAUAUGACGAACAAAUCUUUCAACACUUUCUCCUUUGCUCUAUAUCAACUCUUGUAGCUUUUUUCCACUUUCAAUAAUAGUGUCACCUAUGAAUCUCGAUCCAAAGCCCUUACCAGAGACACCAAUAACUCGAUCUUUUUCUCUUUUUUGAGCGUUUUUCCACCGUCUAUUUCAAAAUCUUAGUCGUCAGAAUUAAGCAACGACCUACAUUAGAUGAGACUAAUUGAGUGAUUUCAAUACUAAAAGAUGGAG